rnacentral:lncRNA from 1 species
GGCUAUGUGUUCCAAAAAGAAAUGAAGAGUUGAAGAGUGAGAUUAUGGAGGAAGCUCAUAGCUCUGCAUAUGCUGCUCAUCCGGGUAGCACAAAAAUGUAUCGGAUUUUGAAGGAUUAUUAUUGGUGGCCAAACAUGAAGAGGGAAAUUGCAGCUUAUGUGAGUAGAUGUCUGAUUUGUCAGCAAGUCAAGGCUGAAAGGCAGAAGCCUUCUGGAUUGCUUGAGCCGUUGCCCAUUCUAGUGUGGAAGUGGGACCACAUCACCAUGGAUUUUGGUUUUAGCUUACCUCGUACCCGUGAUGGGCAUGACGGUAUUUGGGUGAUUGUGGAUAGACUCACCAAGUCUGCACAUUUCUUGCCAGUGGGAAAGAAGUAUAAAUUGGAUAAAUUGGCGGAGCUCUAUGUGAAUGAAAUUGUGAGGCUUCAUGGUGUUCUUGAAUCAAUAGUGUCAGAUCGGGACCCUCGAUUUGCUUCUAAAUUCUGGGGAGCUCUUCAGGCAGCUUUAGGUACCCAAUUACUCUUCAGCACUGCUUUUCAUCCUCAGACUGAUGGGCAGUCCGAAAGGACUAUUCAGACUUUGGAGGAUUUGUUGAGGGCUUGUGCCAUGCAGUUCAGAGGUAGUUGGGAUAAAAACCUAUCUUUGAUGGAAUUUGCCUAUAAUAAUAGCUAUCAUUCUAGUAUUGGUAUGGCGCCCUUUGAGGCUCUUUAUGGGAGGCAGUGUCGCACGCCUUUGUGUUGGAAUGAAGUAGGGGAAAAAGAGCUUUGCGGCCCAGAGUUAAUCCAUGUUACGAAUGAGAAGAUUAAAGUGGUUAGAGAUAGACUCAAGACCGCUCAGAGUAGGCAGAAGAGUUAUGCAGAUGUCCGUAGGAGAGAUCUUGAAUUUCAAGUGGGUGAUUGGGUGUUCCUGAAAUUAUCUCCUUGGAAAGGAGUUGUGCGUUUCGGUAAGCGUGGGAAGCUUAGUCCGAGGUAUAUUGGCCCUUAUGAGAUUAUA